rnacentral:rRNA from 1 species
GCAGUCGAACGGUAACAGGUCUUCGGAUGCUGACGAGUGGCGAACGGGUGAGUAAUACAUCGGAACGUGCCCGAUCGUGGGGGAUAACGAAGCGAAAGCUUUGCUAAUACCGCAUAAGAUCUACGGAUGAAAGCAGGGGACCGCAAGGCCUUGCGCGAACGGAGCGGCCGAUGGCAGAUUAGGUAGUUGGUGGGAUAAAAGCUUACCAAGCCGACGAUCUGUAGCUGGUCUGAGAGGACGACCAGCCACACUGGGACUGAGACACGGCCCAGACUCCUACGGGAGGCAGCAGUGGGGAAUUUUGGACAAUGGGCGAAAGCCUGAUCCAGCCAUGCCGCGUGCAGGAUGAAGGCCUUCGGGUUGCAAACUGCUUUUGUGCGGAACGAAAAGACUCUGGUUAAUACCUGGGGUCCAUGACGGUACCGUAAGAAUAAGCACCGGCUAACUACGUGCCAGCAGCCGCGGUAAUACGUAGGGUGCAAGCGUUAAUCGGAAUCACUGGGCGUAAAGCGCGCGUAGGUGGUUUAUUAAGUUGGAUGUGAAAUCCCCGGGCUCAACCUGGGAACUGCAUCCAAAACUGAUUCACUAGAGUACGAUAGAGGGAGGUAGAAUUCACAGUGUAGCGGUGGAAUGCGUAGAUAUUGUGAAGAAUACCAAUGGCGAAGGCAGCCUCCUGGAUCUGUACUGACACUAAGGUGCGAAAGCGUGGGUAGCGAACAGGAUUAGAUACCCUGGUAGUCCACGCCGUANACGAUGUCAACUAGCUGUUGGGAAACUAUGUUUUUCAGUGGCGCAGCUAACGUAGUAAGUUGACCGCCUGGGGAGUACGGGCCGCAGGCUAAAACUCAAAUGAAUUGACGGGGACCCGCACAAGCGGUGGAGCAUGUGGUUUAAUUCGAUGC